rnacentral:rRNA from 1 species
CAGUUGUUCCGCCAGGAGCAUAGCUGGGUAGCCAAGUGCGGGAGGGAUAAGCGCUGAAAGCAUCUAAGCGCGAAGCCCGCCUCAAGAUGAGAUUUCCCAAUUCGUAAGACCCCUGGAAGAACACCAGGUUGAUAGGCUCGGGGUGGAAGCGCGGCAACGCGUGCAGCUGACGAGUACUAAUCGGUCGAGGGCUUAUCCUAU